rnacentral:rRNA from 1 species
UUAAGCGACUAAGCGUACACGGUGGAUGCCCUGGCAGUCAGAGGCGAUGAAGGACGUGCUAAUCUGCGAAAAGCGUCGGUAAGGUGAUAUGAACCGUUAUAGCCGGCGAUUUCCGAAUGGGGAAACCCAGUGCAAUUCGUUGCACUAUCGUUUGAUGAAUACAUAGUCAAAUGAGGCGAACCGGGGGAACUGAAACAUCUAAGUACCCCGAGGAAAAGAAAUCAACCGAGAUUCCCCCAGUAGCGGCGAGCGAACGGGGAGCAGCCCAGAGCCUGAAUCAGUGUGUGUGUUAGUGGAAGCGUCUGGAAAGGCGCGCGAUACAGGGUGACAGCCCCGUACACAAAAAUGCACAUGCUGUGAGCUCGAUGAGUAGGGCGGGACACGUGGUAUCCUGUCUGAAUAUGGGGGGACCAUCCUCCAAGGCUAAAUACUCCUGACUGACCGAUAGUGAACCAGUACCGUGAGGGAAAGGCGAAAAGAACCCCGGCGAGGGGAGUGAAAAAGAACCUGAAACCGUGUACGUACAAGCAGUGGGAGCACGCUUAGGCGUGUGACUGCGUACCUUUUGUAUAAUGGGUCAGCGACUUAUAUUCUGUAGCAAGGUUAACCGAAUAGGGGAGCCGAAGGGAAACCGAGUCUUAACUGGGCGUUAAGUUGCAGGGUAUAGACCCGAAACCCGGUGAUCUAGCCAUGGGCAGGUUGAAGGUUGGGUAACACUAACUGGAGGACCGAACCGACUAAUGUUGAAAAAUUAGCGGAUGACUUGUGGCUGGGGGUGAAAGGCCAAUCAAACCGGGAGAUAGCUGGUUCUCCCCGAAAGCUAUUUAGGUAGCGCCUCGUGAAUUCAUCUCCGGGGGUAGAGCACUGUUUCGGCAAGGGGGUCAUCCCGACUUACCAACCCGAUGCAAACUGCGAAUACCGGAGAAUGUUAUCACGGGAGACACACGGCGGGUGCUAACGUCCGUCGUGAAGAGGGAAACAACCCAGACCGCCAGCUAAGGUCCCAAAGUCAUGGUUAAGUGGGAAACGAUGUGGGAAGGCCCAGACAGCCAGGAUGUUGGCUUAGAAGCAGCCAUCAUUUAAAGAAAGCGUAAUAGCUCACUGGUCGAGUCGGCCUGCGCGGAAGAUGUAACGGGGCUAAACCAUGCACCGAAGCUGCGGCAGCGACGCUUAUGCGUUGUUGGGUAGGGGAGCGUUCUGUAAGCCUGUGAAGGUGUGCUGUGAGGCAUGCUGGAGGUAUCAGAAGUGCGAAUGCUGACAUAAGUAACGAUAAAGCGGGUGAAAAGCCCGCUCGCCGGAAGACCAAGGGUUCCUGUCCAACGUUAAUCGGGGCAGGGUGAGUCGACCCCUAAGGCGAGGCCGAAAGGCGUAGUCGAUGGGAAACAGGUUAAUAUUCCUGUACUUGGUGUUACUGCGAAGGGGGGACGGAGAAGGCUAUGUUGGCCGGGCGACGGUUGUCCCGGUUUAAGCGUGUAGGCUGGUUUUCCAGGCAAAUCCGGAAAAUCAAGGCUGAGGCGUGAUGACGAGGCACUACGGUGCUGAAGCAACAAAUGCCCUGCUUCCAGGAAAAGCCUCUAAGCAUCAGGUAACAUCAAAUCGUACCCCAAACCGACACAGGUGGUCAGGUAGAGAAUACCAAGGCGCUUGAGAGAACUCGGGUGAAGGAACUAGGCAAAAUGGUGCCGUAACUUCGGGAGAAGGCACGCUGAUAUGUAGGUGAAGUCCCUCGCGGAUGGAGCUGAAAUCAGUCGAAGAUACCAGCUGGCUGCAACUGUUUAUUAAAAACACAGCACUGUGCAAACACGAAAGUGGACGUAUACGGUGUGACGCCUGCCCGGUGCCGGAAGGUUAAUUGAUGGGGUCAGCGCAAGCGAAGCUCUUGAUCGAAGCCCCGGUAAACGGCGGCCGUAACUAUAACGGUCCUAAGGUAGCGAAAUUCCUUGUCGGGUAAGUUCCGACCUGCACGAAUGGCGUAAUGAUGGCCAGGCUGUCUCCACCCGAGACUCAGUGAAAUUGAACUCGCUGUGAAGAUGCAGUGUACCCGCGGCAAGACGGAAAGACCCCGUGAACCUUUACUAUAGCUUGACACUGAACAUUGAGCCUUGAUGUGUAGGAUAGGUGGGAGGCUUUGAAGUGUGGACGCCAGUCUGCAUGGAGCCGACCUUGAAAUACCACCCUUUAAUGUUUGAUGUUCUAACGUUGACCCGUAAUCCGGGUUGCGGACAGUGUCUGGUGGGUAGUUUGACUGGGGCGGUCUCCUCCUAAAGAGUAACGGAGGAGCACGAAGGUUGGCUAAUCCUGGUCGGACAUCAGGAGGUUAGUGCAAUGGCAUAAGCCAGCUUGACUGCGAGCGUGACGGCGCGAGCAGGUGCGAAAGCAGGUCAUAGUGAUCCGGUGGUUCUGAAUGGAAGGGCCAUCGCUCAACGGAUAAAAGGUACUCCGGGGAUAACAGGCUGAUACCGCCCAAGAGUUCAUAUCGACGGCGGUGUUUGGCACCUCGAUGUCGGCUCAUCACAUCCUGGGGCUGAAGUAGGUCCCAAGGGUAUGGCUGUUCGCCAUUUAAAGUGGUACGCGAGCUGGGUUUAGAACGUCGUGAGACAGUUCGGUCCCUAUCUGCCGUGGGCGCUGGAGAACUGAGGGGGGCUGCUCCUAGUACGAGAGGACCGGAGUGGACGCAUCACUGGUGUUCGGGUUGUCAUGCCAAUGGCACUGCCCGGUAGCUAAAUGCGGAAGAGAUAAGUGCUGAAAGCAUCUAAGCACGAAACUUGCCCCGAGAUGAGUUCUCCCUGACUCCUUGAGAGUCCUGAAGGAACGUUGAAGACGACGACGUUGAUAGGCCGGGUGUGUAAGCGCAGCGAUGCGUUGAGCUAACCGGUACUAAUGAACCGUGAGGCUUAACCUU